rnacentral:sRNA from 1 species
GGAAAAAAGAGAAGAGAGAGAAAAC